CUUUCUCUCCUUGGGUCGGGACGCGUCCGCAUUGGAACCCCUUGCGGACCCCACACCGCGACCCCAAAGUGGGGGACCCCGGCGCCCUUCGCCCCCCCACCCUGACCCCCCUUCUCGCCCCCCAGCCGCGGGGAACGCCUUCUGCCAGGCGGCGCAGCUCCACCUGCAGCUGCAGAGCAAGCACGACGCCGCCACCAACUUCGUGGACGCCGGCAACGCCUUCAAGAAAGCGGACCCCCAAGAGGCCAUUAAUUGCCUGAUCCGAGCCAUCGAGAUCUACACGGACAUGGGCCGCUUCACCAUCGCUGCCAAGCACCACAUCUCCAUCGCCGAGAUCUACGAGAGCGAGCUGGUGGAUGUGGAGAAGGUGAGCGGGGCGUAGGGCGCCGUGGUUUUGUGACCUUCAAGGACCUUUCCAACCCAGCCAGGGUAGGGUUCCGUGCUUCUGUGACCUUCAAGGACCUUUCCAACCCAGCCAGGGUAGGGUUCCGUGCUUCUGUGACCUUCAAGGACCCUCCCAACCCAACCAGUGUAGGGCUCCGUGGUUCUGUGACCUUCAAGGACCCUCCCAACCCAACUAGUGCAGGGUUCUACGGUUCUGUGACCUUCAAGGACUUUUCCAACCUAGCCAGGGUACAGUUCUGUGGUUCUGUGAGCUUCAAGGACCUUUCCAAGCCAGCCAGGGUAGGGUUCUGUGCUUCUGUGACCUUCAAGGACCCUCCCAACCCAACCAGUGUAGGGUUCUGUGGUUCUGUGACCUUCAAGGACCUUUCCAACCCAACCAGUGUAGGGUUCUGUGACCUUCAGGGACCUUUCCAACCCAGCCAGGGUAGGGUUCUGUGGUUUUGUGACCUUCAAGGACCUUUCCAACCCAGCCAGGGUAGAGUUCCGUGCUUCUGUGACCUUCAAGGACCUUUCCAACCCAGCCAGGGUAGGGUUCUGUGUUUUUGUGACCUUCAAGGACCCUCCCAACCCAACCAGUGUAGGAUUCUGUGGUUCUGUUACCUUCAAGGACCUUUUCAGUCCAGCCAGGGUAGGGUUCUGUGCUUCUGUGACCUUCAAGGACCCUCCCAACCCAACCAGUGUAGGGUUCUACGGUUCUGUGACCUUCAAAGACCUUUUCAAUCCAGCCAGGGUAGGGUUCUGGGAUUCUGUGACCUUCAAGGACCUUUCCAACCCAGCCAGGGUAGGGUUCCAUGGUUCUGUGACCUUCAAGGACCCUCCCAACCCAACCAGUGUAGGGUUCUGUGGUUCUGUGACCUUCAAGGAUCUUUCCAACCCAGCCAGGGUAGGGUUCAACAGUUCUGUAAUCUGUAAGGACCUUUCUAACCCAACUGUAGCAGGAUUCCAUGGUUCCAUGACCUUUAAGGACCUUUCCAACCCACCUGUUUUAGAGUUCCAUGGUUCUGUGAUCUUUAAGGACC
rnacentral:lncRNA from 1 species